UUUUAUGGUGGCUGUGCGCGGGAGACCUUAGGGUCUGCCGGUUUCUCCAUUGCCCGGUUCGCCAACCCGCGUACGGCUACCACCCAU
rnacentral:antisense_RNA from 2 species